AGUGAAUAGUGUGUUAAUCGAAUUGAGACCUUUGCUUCACGAGGAGGUUAUUUAUUGGAUCCGUCAUUUCUGCAUGCUGUGACUCUAUACGCUCUAUACUUUAGUCGGAAAACCAAACGAAGGGAAACCAAAUUAACCAAAAGGAGAAAGUGCGUAGUGAAUUACUCCCUGUACUCUGUGCCUCAUCUCGUUGAGACUAUGUUCAAGUGUUUUGGAAAGGUCUUAUUAGAUCACCACAUUCAUCUGUUAUCCAUGAAUAUUAUGCACGAAAAUGUAAAUCUGCUUUAACUGUUGAUGUCAUACUUACAAGUACAAUGAGAAGGGCAUUCAAAGCUUAUGUAUUCCAUUAGAAGUGCCUAGAGGGAAGAAAAAAGGUUCCAUGUUUACACACACACACACACACAUUGGUUAAAGUUCAGGAAUAUGAUAUCGACCGAAGAAAAGAAGUAUCAAGAAUGGAAUAUUAUAGAAACAAGGCAAUACAGACUGUAACAGAAGACUGAGCAAGACAAUAUAAAAUGAAAUUGGUAUCAAAGUAAAAGCAACAGUUUGUGACCAAGGUUCCACGCAAAGAAGAGCCCUAUCCGAAUUAUGUGCAGAGAAUAAGGUUGACCCAACUAGCUAUACGUUCGUAGUUAAUCAGGUCGCAGGCGAGCACACGGACAUGGGCUCGUGCUUAAGUGUGUGGCUACCGAUUUUGAC